UUCAGUUUCACAGUCAACUCCACUCAAGCUAUCAUAAUGUCGUUUCAAUCCAUUCAUCGUGUUCCAUUUGUGCCAGUUUGUUCCGUCCACACUGAUGAUGAACAACGUUAGAGCGACGCAUAUCAAUGCAAACAUGACAGUUGUGAUUGUCUGUGAAUAGAAAAAUUGCGUUAACCGAACUUGUCACUACAGUGUAUUCUCGCAUUUUAAUAGUUUUUCCACAACAACGUUGUCAGGGUC